rnacentral:rRNA from 1 species
CUGAGAGGAUGACCAGCCACACUGGAACUGAGACACGGUCCAGACUCCUACGGGAGGCAGCAGUGGGGAAUAUUGCACAAUGGGCGCAAGCCUGAUGCAGCCAUGCCGCGUGUAUGAAGAAGGCCUUCGGGUUGUAAAGUACUUUCAGCGGGGAGGAAGGGAGUAAAGUUAAUACCUUUGCUCAUUGACGUUACCCGCAGAAGAAGCACCGGCUAACUCCGUGCCAGCAGCCGCGGUAAUACGGAGGGUGCAAGCGUUAAUCGGAAUUACUGGGCGUAAAGCGCACGCAGGCGGUUUGUUAAGUCAGAUGUGAAAUCCCCGGGCUCAACCUGGGAACUGCAUCUGAUACUGGCAAGCUUGAGUCUCGUAGAGGGGGGUAGAAUUCCAGGUGUAGCGGUGAAAUGCGUAGAGAUCUGGAGG